GCUGUGGAAGCUGGAGGACUAGGUUGUCCCAGAGUCCCGUACCCCUGGGGAUCCAGGAAGUUACACUGAGGUGAGGCCAACUGCUCUGUGUGUGGAAGCCAGAGAAGAAAGCAGCACAGAACAGAUGCAAACCAAGGAGGCUGGAAGAUAAGAGCAGAGCCAUCAGGACCCGAGCCCCUCGGGGGUAUGAAACAGGAGUCGUGGGAGCAAAUUACAUUUCAGAGCUUCCUGUGUGCAGCAUGGAUCUAAAGCUGGUGGAUGCAGGGGGGUGAAAAAGACAACAUCUUCACUUCCUGCAUGCUGAUGGCGGAAGUGAGACAUCAGCGAAGAAACAUCACGAUCACCAAAUUAUGAUGAACACCAUGGAGGAAACAAAGGACACUGUGACACCAAGGAAGGAAGGGAGGUUACUU
rnacentral:lncRNA from 1 species